UUGGAAAAAAGCAGUACUGGUUGUCCGACAGUAACUCCCAUUACAUUUGAUGAUGUUGACGCGGCGGAAGCAGGUCCAUCAAAAGAAUUCUGGAGCAGCAGAAGUUGGACUUCAGUAACACAACAGGCAAAAAAAAAUGGGGCAGCAAAGAAAGCAAGGUCUGAUGUUUAGGGCCAACCACAGCAGGCUACCCGCCACGAAGAUUAUCGACAGUAUGUUCGGGCCCCACACUCCAAAUUUUGGACACACCUCCAAGACGUGAACCACACUCCCCUCAGCUUGAUUUCCUGGUAACAGCAUCCCUCUGCAACAACAGCAAACAAGCAGCAGUUCUGGUACGACUACUCCAAAUAUCACGCCAAUGUCAUCACCACCAAGACGCUCCACCAGAGCACGCCAACAUGACAGUGGUAAAGGCAAAGGACAGGACAAGCAGCCAACCAAAAUCAAUUAACAUUGAAAACUCAAAUUUUUUAUUUCAGAGAAGUAAAUAAAAAUACUUCGUAAGUGUAUGUUUGUUAAAAAAGAUAUAACACUUAGCUCCUUGACAAUUUGAACAACAUCCUUAAUUAGAAGUGGUACAAACAGCAACAGGAAAUUCGUAUGCACAUUUAUUCUGUACCAUUUUUGCAAUUUUUGGAGGAGGGAAAUGUUUGUGAUGCACAUAGAUGUUAGCAGGAAGUAACCAGACCACUUGAUUUUUUUCUAAUCAUUACUCUUUCUAGAUUCCAAUCAAUCUCAGAUCCUGCACACACAAUAAUUGGCAGCCAGCAAGAAUGUCUUUAGCAGGAAGUAACCAGACCACUUGAUUUUUUUCUAAUCAUUACUCUUUCUAGAUUCCAAUCAAUCUCAGAUCCUGCACACACAAUAAUUGGCAGCCAGGCAUAAUCAUCCAUGACCAAUGCAAGUUACAAUGUGAAUUAAAACUGGUUUACAUUUCUUCUGUAGACGACUUUACAAGAAAAACACCAUAGAGUUGUGUAAAAGUGUCCUAAUAUGUUUGUGUACAUUUAUAUUUUCAUUACCAAAAUGAAUGACAUUAUUGUUGUGGCAUGUUUGUGUGUGUAAAAAAUGAGUAAUCAUAUUUAAAAACCUGAGGCACAACCCACAAAAUAAAAAAGAUUUUAACUUUUAACACUAAUAUGUGUAAUAAUGGAUAUAUGUUGAAAAAUGUGUAUUGACUUUUAAAAGUCCAAAUUUACUCCAGCAAACAUAAGGCAAUAAAUUAUU